ensembl:lncRNA
GAAAACUAACGUUACAAAUGAAUUAAUUUCAAGAGAUUUUAUAAUUAACAACCUUGGAUUUUUUUUUUCCCAAAUGCGUUGAGUCAUUCAUUACUCUUUAAAAACUCGCUUUGUACUAUGACUAAUUUUGUCCAGUUUUGCUGAAAUGAAAUAAGUCAGCUUCUGUUACCUGCUUAACGUUUUCUUUAUUUAUGCAAUCACUGAACGUUUCUGGAGGGGCCCCUUUCUAGCCCUGAUGAACAGGAGUUUUUAAGCAGCUGAGGGCUGCUUUGCGCAGAUUGAUCAAGGUAACACAAGCCAAUAUCCUGAAUCCCAGGCUUGUGACCAGCCACCAAACCGGUACCCAAAGGACAGGAGUGGUCCAAGCAGCAGUAGCAAAUGUCAUCUCCCACUAAACCUGCCCAGAGGAAAAUGGAGAAGUAUACUCAAAGAUGGUGUUUGCCUACCUCACAGUGCAAAGCAAAGUCUCAGUGACAUGACUCCACAUUUUUAUUUUGCACUUCAGAUUGUCUCAAAUAUUUCCAGUGGAUGGUAAAUGCUGUCUUCUGUAACAAGUUCUCCUGAAGCCUUACUUGAUCGUGAUUACAAGGUAAAUCUCAUAAUCAGAGACUCUUCUAAAUGCUGAAGGAUUGCUGGGGUUCAGAAGGAUCUAUCUCAGCUUAUAUGUAACUCAAUUUCCAAUGAAGAUCAAUAUUCUUCAUAAAUAUCCUAAAACUUACUCCGGUCAGUGGAUAAAACUUUUCUAAAGAAGAAAGUAUACUUUUGUUGUUAUAGAAUU